rnacentral:rRNA from 1 species
CCUACGGGAGGCAGCAGUGGGGAAUAUUGGACAAUGGGCGAAAGCCUGAUCCAGCAAUGCCGCGUGUGUGAAGAAGGCCUGCGGGUUGUAAAGCACUUUCAGUUGGGAAGAUGAUGACGUUACCAACAGAAGAAGCACCGGCUAAAUCCGUGCCAGCAGCCGCGGUAAUACGGAUGGUGCGAGCGUUAAUCGGAAUUACUGGGCGUAAAGCGCGCGUAGGCGGCUAAGUCAGUCAGAAGUGAAAGCCCCGGGCUCAACCUGGGAAUUGCUUUUGAUACUGCUUAGCUAGAGUUUGGUAGAGGAUAGUGGAAUUCCAGGUGUAGCGGUGAAAUGCGUAGAUAUCUGGAGGAACAUCAGUGGCGAAGGCGACUGUCUGGACCAAAACUGACGCUGAGGUGCGAAAGCGUGGGUAGCAAACAGGAUUAGAUACCCUGGUAGUCCACGCCGUAAACGAUGUCAACUAGCCGUCGGGCCUAUUUACAGGUUUGGUGGCGCAGCUAACGCGAUAAGUUGACCGCCUGGGGAGUACGGCCGCAAGGUUAAAACUCAAAGGAAUUGACGGA